rnacentral:rRNA from 1 species
UGGGGAAUUUUCCGCAAUGGGCGAAAGCCUGACGGAGCAAUACCGCGUGAGGGAGGAAGGCUCUUGGGUUGUAAACCUCAAAACUUAGGGAAGGAAAAAAUGACGGUACCUAAUGUAAGCAUCGGCUAACUCCGUGCCAGCAGCCGCGGUAAUACGGAGGAUGCAAGCGUUAUCCGGAAUCAUUGGGCGUAAAGAGUCCGUAGGUGGCACUUCAAGUCUGCUUUCAAAGACCGAAGCUCAACUUCGGAAAGGGAGUGGAAACUGAAGAGCUAGAGUAUAGUAGGGGUAGAGGGAAUUCCUAGUGUAGCGGUGAAAUGCGUAGAGAUUAGGAAGAACACCAGUGGCGAAGGCGCUCUACUGGGCAUAUACUGACACUGAGGGACGAAAGCUAGGGGAGCGAAAGGGAUUAGAUACCCCUGUAGU